rnacentral:tRNA from 1 species
GCGGAUAUGGCGAAAUUGGUAGACGCGUCAGACUUAGGAUCUGAUACCGUAAGGCGUAUGGGUUCGAGUCCCUUUAUCCGCA